UGUGUAACAAUGUCCUUUGUCUCUGACCCAGGCAUCUCUUGUCUUCUUCCAGAAACCAUGACACUAUGGCAGGCCAACUUACUAGCUUUCAAGUAAGGUAACAUCUCAGACCAUCACAGGUUUUGACAGGGGAAACUCUGAAGGACCACAGGAGUUGGAGGUUCCACGUAUCUCUAAGUAGUAACAUACAAUGGGUCCAAAACAGAAGAAAGAGAACUCAAGAUUCCCGAGCCACACAGCUGUUGAUUGGAGGCUGACUCAGAGAGACCCUGGAUUCAGUGACAUACAGAGAUAACAGGUACAGGAUCAGUAUGGGUUUUAAUUGAGGGGCUCGGCACCAAAUGACAGACUUGACACAUCCACCCCCACCAUGGAUGCUGUCCGUCCACUGUUGCACAAUGUCCUUCAGUGUCUAAUUUACAGAUCCAGCUGUAUUUCCCCUUCCACCUGCAUCCCUGAAGUUCCUCCCACCUGAAAACUUCACCUGACCCAAGAAAGCAAAGGAAAAAACCCGGAGAGCCAGCUCAUGGUCUGGUUCACUGUUUAACAGCCAGAAGCCAGAGCCUGCGUACUAGAAGUGGAUGCCCAGGAAGUACUUGUGAGCUGACUAAGAAUGUAAGAACGCCACCCACUUCAUUCAGGAAAGUGAGGCAGGAUUCCAUGCAGUGUGAAUGACUGCACAUGGAACAAGCAGGUUAUCAUUUAUAUUCAGCAAGGGACCUCCAUGGACAGGACAUUUGGGGAGCUGCUAUCAAACAUCAGAACUUCUGACACUGUGCACACAGUCUUAUAUUGUGCCUUGUCUGUGGUGAUGUCUCACUACAGUAAUGAUUAAGAUGAUGAGCACUUAUGCGUUGAUAUUGCAAUAUGUCUGCGUAAGAACUAUCGCUAAGGCAGGUUAUAUUAUUACCCUCAGUGUAUAGGUAAGGAGGUUAGACUGAUAACUUACCCAGUGUCACAUAGGUAGUAA
rnacentral:antisense_RNA from 1 species